rnacentral:rRNA from 1 species
CCUACGGGAGGCAGCAGUAAGGAAUAUUGGACAAUGGACGCAAGUCUGAUCCAGCCAUGCCGCGUGAAGGAUUAAGGCCCUCUGGGUUGUAAACUUCUUUUAUAGGGGACGAAAAAAGGGCUUUCUAGCUCGACUGACGGUACCCUAUGAAUAAGCACCGGCUAACUCCGUGCCAGCAGCCGCGGUAAUACGGAGGGUGCAAGCGUUAUCCGGAUUCACUGGGUUUAAAGGGUGCGUAGGCGGGCAGUUAAGUCAGUGGUGAAAUCUCUGGGCUCAACCCGGAAACUGCCAUUGAUACUAUCUGUCUUGAAUAUUGUGGAGGUGAGCGGAAUAUGUCAUGUAGCGGUGAAAUGCUUAGAUAUGACAUAGAACACCGAUUGCGUAGGCAGCUCGCUACACAUAUAUUGACGCUGAGGCACGAAAGCGUGGGGAUCAAACAGGAUUAGAUACCCUGGUAGUCCACGCCCUAAACUAUGAUUACUCGACAUAUGCGAUACACUGUAUGUGUCUGAGCGAAAGCAUUAAGUAAUCCACCUGGGAAGUACGACCGCAAGGUUGAAACUUAAAGGAAUUGACGG